UACGAAGGGGGCUAGCGUUGCUCGGAAUUACUGGGCGUAAAGGGCUCGUAGGCGGCCAACUAAGUCAGACGUGAAAUCCCUCGGCUUAACCGGGGAACUGCGUCUGAUACUGGAUGGCUUGAGGUUGGGAGAGGGAUGCGGAAUUCCAGGUGUAGCGGUGAAAUGCGUAGAUAUCUGGAGGAACACCGGUGGCGAAGGCGGCAUCCUGGACCAAAUCUGACGCUGAGGAGCGAAAGCCAGGGGAGCAAACGGG
rnacentral:rRNA from 1 species